rnacentral:lncRNA from 1 species
UUGUUUUCCUUCCAUAAGAUAUGAACAAGUCCAUGGUCUGGCAGAUUGGUUAACUGUGGAUGAAAACUCAGGAGUGGUCACCACCAGGGAACGCGGGGACUGUGAGUCCCCUGUGUUGGUGACAGCUUUUACACAGUCAUGGUUCAUGCGAUUGACAACGCCCCCAGCCUGCUUGCCAGCUGGGGCACAGCUCUCAGCGGGAAACUCAGCUCAGCACUGAAGUGGUCACUGGCAAGCACAGG